rnacentral:rRNA from 1 species
GAUGAACGCUGGCGGCGUGCUUAACACAUGCAAGUCGAACGGAAAGGCCCUUCUUUUGUGGGGUGCUCGAGUGGCGAACGGGUGAGUAACACGUGAGUAAUCUGCCCUGCACUUUGGGAUAACCCUAGGAAACUGGGGCUAAUACCGGAUAGGACCAUCUGUUGCAUGGCGGGGUGUGGAAUGUUUUGGCGGUGGGGUAUGGGCUCGCGGUUUAUGAGCUUGUUGGUGGGGAUGUGGUUUACCAAGGCGUUGACGGGUAGGCGGCAUGAGAGGGUGUACGGCUACAUUGGGACUGAGAGACGGGCCAGCAUACUACGGGAGGCAGGAGUGGGGAAUAUUGCACAAUGGGCGGCAGCCUGAUGCAGCGACGCCGCGUGGGGGAUGACGGCCUUCGGGUUGUAAACACCUUUCGCUAGGGACGAAGCGCAAGUGACGUUACCUGGAGAAGAAGCACCGGCUAGCUACGUG